rnacentral:rRNA from 1 species
CCUACGGGAGGCAGCAGUGAGGAAUAUUGGUCAAUGGACGAGAGUCUGAACCAGCCAAGUAGCGUGAAGGAUGACUGCCCUAUGGGUUGUAAACUUCUUUUAUAAAGGCAUAAAACGAUGCCCGUGUGACUUUUUGCAUGUCCUUUAUGAAUAAGGAUCUGCUAACUCCGUGCCAGCAGCCGCGGUCAUACGUAGGAUCCGAGCGUUAUCCGGAUUUAUUGGGUUUAAAGGGAGCGUAGAUGGGUUGUUAAGUCAGUUGUGAAAGUUUGCGGCUCAACCGUAAAAGUGCAAUUGAUACUGGCAGUCUUGAGUACAGUUGAGGUAAGCGGAAUUCGUGGUGUAGCGGUGAAAUGCUUAGAUAUCACGAAGAACCCCGAUUGCGAAGGCAGCUUACUAAACUGUGACUGACAUUGAUGCUCGAAAGUGUGGGUAUCAAACAGGAUUAGAUACCCGAGUAGUC